rnacentral:rRNA from 1 species
CNAGGUUUCCGUAGGUGAACCUGCGGAAGGAUCAU